rnacentral:rRNA from 1 species
UGAGGAAUUUUCCGCAAUGGGCGAAAGCCUGACGGAGCAAUGCCGCGUGGAGGACGAAAGCCUAUGGGUCGUAAACUCCUUUUCUCAGAGAAGAAUUUUGACGGUAUCUGAGGAAUAAGCAUCGGCUAACUCCGUGCCAGCAGCCGCGGUAAGACGGGGGAUGCAAGUGUUAUCCGGAAUAAUUGGGCGUAAAGCGUCUGUAGGUGGUUUACCAAGUCUGUUGUUAAAAAUCAGGGCUUAACCCUGAUCCGGCAACAGAAACUAGUAGGCUGGAGUACGGUAGGGGCAGAGGGAAUUCUCGGUGUAGUGGUGAAAUACGUAGAUAUCGAGAAGAACACCAAUAGCGAAAGCACUCUGCUGGGCCGAAACUGACAUUGAGAGACGAAAGCUAGGGGAGCGAAAGG